GACGAACGCUGGCGGCGUGCUUAACACAUGCAAGUCGAACGAGAUCUUCGGAUCUAGUGGCAGACGGGUGAGGAACACGUGGGAACAUCCCUUUCAGUUCGGAAUAACGUUGGGAAACUAACGCUAAUACCGGAUACGUCCUUCGGGAGAAAGAUUUAUCGCUGAAAGAUUGGCCCGCGUCUGAUUAGCUAGUUGGUGAGGUAACGGCUCACCAAGACUACGAUCAGUAGCUGAUCUGAGAGGAUGAUCAGCCACAUUGGGACUGAGACACGGCCCAAACUCCUACGGGAGGCAGCAGUGGGGAAUAUUGGACAAUGGGCGCAAGCCUGAUCCAGCCAUGCCGCGUGAGUGAUGACGGCCUUCGGGUUGUAAAGCUCUUUUGUCCGGGAAGAUAAUGACUGUACCGGAAGAAUAAGCCCCGGCAAACUUCGUGCCAGCCGCCGCGGUAA
rnacentral:rRNA from 1 species